rnacentral:tRNA from 1 species
GCCUGGGUGGCUCAGUCGGUUGAGCCUCUGACUUCAGCUUAGGUCAUGAUCUCACGGUUCGUGAGUUCAAGCCCCGCAUCGGGCU